GUUUCGUAGGUGAACCUGCGGAGGGAUCAUUACCGAGUUUACAACUCCCAAACCCCUGUGAACAUACCAAUUGUUGCCUCGGCGGAUCAGCCCGCUCCCGGUAAAACGGGACGGCCCGCCAGAGGACCCCUAAACUCUGUUUCUAUAUGUAACUUCUGAGUAAAACCAUAAAUAAAUCAAAACUUUCAACAACGGAUCUCUUGGUUCUGGCAUCGAUGAAGAACGCAGCAAAAUGCGAUAAGUAAUGUGAAUUGCAGAAUUCAGUGAAUCAUCGAAUCUUUGAACGCACAUUGCGCCCGCCAGUAUUCUGGCGGGCAUGCCUGUUCGAGCGUCAUUUCAACCCUCAAGCCCCCGGGUUUGGUGUUGGGGAUCGGCGAGCCCUUGCGGCAAGCCGGCCCCGAAAUCUAGUGGCGGUCUCGCUGCAGCUUCCAUUGCGUAGUAGUAAAACCCUCGCAACUGGUACGCGGCGCGGCCAAGCCGUUAAACCCCCAACUUCUGAAUGUUGACCUCGGAUCAGGUAGGAAUACCCGCUGAACUUAAGCAUAUCAAUAAGCGGAGGAA
rnacentral:rRNA from 2 species